AUCUGGGGCCCUUUCUGCUCUCGGUCUCCUUUGUUGAUCCCUGCAGCGAGCUGGGAAUUCUGGACAGACAUUUGUAGACCACCGUGAGUCCCUGCAAAGACUCCCCCAGAUUCCGCACCCGAGGCCACCUCCACCGGGUCGGAAGCCAAGCCGGUCGCAGCGCAUCUCCCCUGCUCGGCUCCACGUGAUGUUUAAUUUUUCUAUAAAUUAACUUGCACAGUGUCACACCACAUUACCGCACCCUGGAACAUUCCGACUCCGAUCUGUGAGCAGCCGACACACAGAGUGAUGCCCCCACGUUCUCCGGGGACGUUUUCCCGUCAUGUAACUGAUUAAAAUACAGCUGACUGGGGGAGACGCAGGCGCUGCAGCCGGCCGCGGGGCGAGCCGGCGAAACCCGGAGAUAAUGAAUAAUGGCUUGUGGCAAAACUGAUAAUGCACCCGCUAUUCUAUCGACUGGGGCUGCGGCUUCAGUUAAUCGUGCUAAAUUGCUGGGCUGGGUUCCACCGGGCUUGGCCGCUGCCUUCCUCUUUUGAAAAUUUUCAUUUGUCUGAAGUUGAGUUCUUGUACCUUCCUCCUGGCGCUCCAUUCAAAUGAGAUGGCUAUUUUUGCUGCGGCGCCCGUGGGAGCGUGUGUCUGGGAGGCAGCCGGGCCGCGGCUGCAUCUGUCAGCUGCACGCACCCACCACGGUGCCCACCCCGCGCCCCCCGCGCCCUGUGCCGUGGCCAGGCCGGGCGACGGCUGUGUCCUCCCAAGCCUGACGCCCAGGAAGACGCUGGGCCCCGGGUGUGGGCCGCCCGUGGGGCUGCGUCCUGGCUGCAGCGAGGCAAGGACCCGUCCCUCCUGCCCCCGCACCUCCUGGCCUCUGGCCUUGAGCCUCCGCUCGUCUGGACGCAGCCUCCGCCUGCCCCCACUUGUCAGUGCUGUGUGCUAUGAAGUGGGUCGUGGAAGUGGACCGUGGGGCCUUGUGCUUGGCACACAAUCCGUGUCCAAUGCACGGUCCUUGUCCCCAUGACAGAGGCCUCUGCAGAGGACCACAGGGCACAGGGAGGAGUGACCAGCCACCUGGAAGGAAGGGCCAGCUCCACAGAGGAGCGGAUCGGGAGUUGCAUCUUGAGGGUCACGCUGCGGUGACAGGACACCAUGAACAAGAAGGUGGCGAGUCAAUUCAACAGAACGCUGGAAGGUGCCCUGGCCACCCUCCAUCUGCCCUCCGUCUCUGAGGACCUGCCCUUUCUGGACAUUUCAUGGAGGUGGCAUCGUGCGCCGUGUGGCCCUUUGUCAUGGGUCUCUUUGACGAGCGUCACGUUUUGAGGCCGUGGCUGUGCGGUCCUCCCUGACCAGGGCCUGCCCCUCCUCUCACUACUGUCCACUUCGACGUCACCUGCCGUCCUUCAUGUAUUCAAAGGGCACCGGGCACUGCCGAAGACCAGCCCCGACUUCAAUCCUGGGGACAGGACGAUGACCAAGGUCAGCGUGGCUCUUGCCCGGGACGCUCACACAGGGGACGCCUGCACACCUUCAGUCGGCGCCACCUGGCAAGAAGUG